rnacentral:tRNA from 1 species
AUAAAAUUAGCUUAUAAAAAGCCUUUAAAUGUUAAUUAAAAGAUAAUUGAAAAUUAUUUUAUA